rnacentral:rRNA from 1 species
UAGGGAAUNUCCGCAAUGGGCGAAAGCCUGACGGAGCAACGCCGCGUGAGUGAAGAAGGAUUUCGGUUCGUAAAGCUCUGUUGUUAGGGAAGAAUGAUUGUGUAGUAAUUAUACAUAGUAGAGACGGUACCUAACCAGAAAGCCACGGCUAACUACGUGCCAGCAGCCGCGGUAAUACGUAGGUGGCAAGCGUUGUCCGGAAUUAUUGGGCGUAAAGCGCGCGCAGGUGGUUUAANAAGUCUGAUGUGAAAGCCCACGGCUCAACCGUGGAGGGUCAUUGGAAACUGUUAAACUUGAGUGCAGGAGAGAAAAGUGGAAUUCCUAGUGUAGCGGUGAAAUGCGUAGAGAUUAGGAGGAACACCAGUGGCGAAGGCGGCUUUUUGGCCUGUAACUGACACUGAGGCGCGAAAGCGUGGGGAGCAAACAGGAUUAGAUACCCUGGUAGUCCACGCCGUAAACGAUGAGUGCUAAGUGUUGGUCUCAUAAGAGAUCAGUGCUGCAGCUAACGCAUUAAGCACUCCGCCUGGGGAGUACGACCGCAAGGUUG